rnacentral:rRNA from 1 species
UACGUAGGGGCCAAGCGUUGUCCGGAUUUAUUGGGCGUAAAGAGCUCGUAGGCGGUUGGGUAAGUCGGGUGUGAAAACUCCAGGCUCAACUUGGAGAGGCCACCCCGAUACUGCUCUGACUUGAGUUCGGUAGGGGAGUGGGGAAUUCCUGGUGUAGCGGUGAAAUGCGCAGAUAUCAGGAGGAACACCGGUGGCGAAGGCGCCACUCUGGGCCGAAACUGACGCUGAGGAGCGAAAGCGUGGGUAGCAAACAGG